UACGGGGGGAGCAAGCGUUGUUCGGAAUCACUGGGCGUAAAGGGCGUGUAGGCGGUCAAGUAAGUGGAAUGUGAAAUGCCCCGGCUCACCCGGGGACCUGCAUCCCAAACUGCUUGGCUUGAGUAUGGGAGAGGAUGAGGGAAUUCCUGGUGUAGCGGUGAAAUGCGUAGAUAUCAGGAGGAACACCGGUGGCGAAGGCGCUCAUCUGGCCCAAUACUGACGCUGAGGCGCGAAAGCUAGGGGAGCAAACGGG
rnacentral:rRNA from 1 species